rnacentral:rRNA from 1 species
UAGGGAAUCUUCCGCAAUGGGCGAAAGCCUGACGGAGCAACGCCGCGUGAGUGAUGAAGGUCUUCGGAUCGUAAAACUCUGUUAUUAGGGAAGAACAUAUGUGUAAGUAACUGUGCACAUCUUGACGGUACCUAAUCAGAAAGCCACGGCUAACUACGUGCCAGCAGCCGCGGUAAUACGUAGGUGGCAAGCGUUAUCCGGAAUUAUUGGGCGUAAAGCGCGCGUAGGCGGUUUUUUAAGUCUGAUGUGAAAGCCCACGGCUCAACCGUGGAGGGUCAUUGGAAACUGGAAAACUUGAGUGCAGAAGAGGAAAGUGGAAUUCCAUGUGUAGCGGUGAAAUGCGCAGAGAUAUGGAGGAACACCAGUGGCGAAGGCGACUUUCUGGUCUGUAACUGACGCUGAUGUGCGAAAGCGUGGGGAUCAAACAGGAUUAGAUACCCUGGUAGUCCACGCCGUAAACGAUGAGUGCUAAGUGUUAGGGGGUUUCCGCCCCUUAGUGCUGCAGCUAACGCAUUAAGCACUCCGCCUGGGGAGUACGACCCCAAGGUUG